UAUUCUUUGUGUCAUUUCCAGAGAGAUAGGAAGGAAAACAUAGUAAACAUUCUUCAAUUCUGCACAAAAGCCGAGAAGGGAUUUUCUUCAAGAACCUCCCUCUGGGUCAAGGCUCUGCCAUGGCGGGGAGGCAGAGGGUGGGGGGUUAAGAAAUAUAAGGCCCAGUUCCCCGUGGAGGCGGGGGUUCGGUGAAACCAAUCCUUGGACUUAGUUCAGUGAAACCAAUCCCUUGAAUGUGGGAUGGAACCAACAUGCAACUCAGUUUGCUUUGGCUCUCACUGUGCAUUUGAGCGAAAGCAAGGGAAGCACUUCCCGUUCCCCUGGCUGAAAGCUCAGCUGACCCCGAGGCUCUUCUGGUCAUGCUUAGGUACGGCUAUGACUCCGUCUUCAACCCCCAGAAAUCCAGCAUCCUCUUGCAACUUCUUCCUGCUGACAUCCCUUUGCCCUUCUGGGAGGCCCUACAGGACUUAAAAUGACCCCCCAACCUUGGCCCUCUCUCCUGCCAUGGUCCAGUCUGAUCCACAUCUGGCCCAUGGGAAUAACUCACACAGCCCCUUCACUCAUCCCAAUGCAGUCCCUCCUGGCACAGUCCCAUGGGGGCCCACAGGUCCAAGUGGCUGCAUGGAAGCCUCCAUCACUGGGCUUGAGUCGAAGGUGGUACCUUCAGCUCCUCGGUGGGGUAGCUUACAGCAUAGCUUUGCCCUCUCUGGAAGUUUCUAUUCCCAAACUCUCCCCAUUCUCCACACUCUUUAUAUUCUUGGUGGGCUGAGGGCCCUGAGUGCUAUGCAACUGGUUCCCCAUUAUUUCCUUUGUAAAUACUACAUAUGGGAGUCUGUCUCACGUUCAGUUUGCUAUCUGAUAUUGUGGUAGCCUGCUUCCACGAUGGCCCCUCAUUGUCACCACCUCCUGGUAUUCACAUGGUUGUGUCUCCUCCCUCCCUUAACAGGGCCGACCCUUGUAGCCACUUGCUAUUGCAGAGCUGAUGGCAUGCAUCUUCUGAGGCUAGGUCAUUGUUGUGUGUUGCAUGAUGUCCCCCCAGAAGAUAUGUUGCAGCCCUAACCCCUAGGGCCUAUAAAUGUGACCUUUUCUGGAACUAGUCUUCGCAGCUGUCAGCAAGGGUUGUUCUUGACUAGAGUGGACCCUACAUCCACUGACUGGUAUCCUCAUAAGGAGAGAGAGACACAGAGUAGACAGACACAAGGGAGAAGGCCGUGUGAAGAUGGAGACAGAGAUUGGAAUGAUACAGCCACAAGCCAAGAAACAUCUGCGGCCAUCAGAAGCUGGAAGAGCUCUCACCAGAGGCUGAGCAGAUGCUGAGGCCAUGCUUUUUGAUUUUCCCAGCCAACAGAAUUGUGAACUGAAUAAACCUCUCUUCUUUACAAAUUACCCAGUCUCAGGUAUCCUGUUAUGGCAACACAAAAUGGACUAAGACAGGAUGUCGCUAUCAAUCACGCUUCGACUGAGUACAGCCAAACCAGGAUACUCAGGGAAUUGGAACCUGUUACCAGACUUCCAUUUAGUACAGACACAGCGCCAGGGGGCUGAGCAUUCUUCGGCAACACGCUUUGGACCCCUUCUCUACACCAAUGCUGUGUGACCUGAAGGGCUGGGGACAUGAAGGAGCAGCUCAGCUAAGGUGACCCAGAUGGUUGGGCUCGGAGCUGAAAGAACACUGUGGUCACCUACCUCCCAAUUCCUGCAUCUGUCCUGCUUGUAAGAGGCUUGCCAAGAACAGGAGCUCUUAUUUGUAGGUCUCUAGGGCUGGCCACCGCAGGGAGUGUGAUUUGAAGAUGGGUUCGGGGUGACAUUACAGGCCCCCUUUAGGCUCUGCUGGGUUGCAGUCCAGCUCUCUGGGCUGCCUUUCUGAUGGCUGCUAUUUUAAAGGCAGAUAGGAUGACAUUAGCAACUUUUAUCAUUCAACUAGCAAGGACUCAGGACGGGCAGCCCCCUUCUGGGAAUGUGCCUAACUCCUGCCCCAGAAUGGAGGAGUCUCUGUGGCUCUAGGGGAGCUGGCCUUCUAUGGAGUCUGAGCAAUGUACUGCACAGGGAGAAGACGCUGCCAGCUGAUACCAGUGUCUCUAUGCAGAGACAUUUCCAGGACACCACGUUAAGCAGCAGAGACACAAGAAGUCAAGGCCCAUGUGCUCUGGUGUGGACGUGUGCCUCCUGUGCCUCAGUGGCAUCAUCUGUACCAUGGGAGGUGUGUAAUGAGGGGUGCGAUCACGUCUGCAAGGGCACGUACAUAGUAGAUGCCCAGGAAGUGCCAGUCCCCAUCUCCUUCCCAGUUUCUUCAGAGCCUUCUGGAAGGCACUGGCAUAGCCCAGUCCUGAGGCAUUGCUUUUUCUUUCAUGGAUGAUCAGGAGCUUCUGUGAUUUCUUCCCCCUCACUCUUCAUUUUGCCAAGAUGUCGCCCAUAGUAACCUCAGCAGUGGAGCGGGGAUUCUGCACUGUUCCACUGCCCGGGGCUGCACAUCCACGUGAGCGGGGCCGACCGGUCCCAGAACGCUUUGCCCUCGGAAGGCAGCAUCACCUGCAGGGGCAAUGCUGUGGACAGCUCUGGCAUGUCCUCCAGGACCCUGGCAUGGUCGGUGAGAAAAGGCCCCCAGGCGUGGGCUUCUCCCAACAGUCAGGUUCAGAAGGCCUCCUGGGUGGCAAAAAUGACCUGGACACCUGCCCCUGGGCCUGGGCUGGACAUCGGUCCUUGGCAGAUGGGGAAGGUUGGUGACCAGCAAGGCACAGAAUAAGGACACAUGGUCCCAGCAGACCCUUGGGAUGACCUUGACCACUUGGACCUUGGAGAGAGGGGACAGGAGAACAGAGGGCAAUGCCACAUGGAGGGGAGGGUGCAGAUGGCUGGUGGCUGGAACUCCGGGAGGCUGAGCAGUGGGGGUGGCAGGAGAGAACUGGCUCCUUCUAGAUAGGGGAAUAUCGUGGUUAGGGUUCUGGGGUCAGAUUGGAUCUGGGCUCUGUCACCUACUAGCUGAGGAAUAAAUAAUCGAGCCUUGGGGCCGGGCGCGGUGGCUCAAGCCUGUAAUCCCAGCACUUUGGGAGGUCAAGGCGGACGGAUCACCUGAG